AACGAACGCUGGCGGCAUGCCUAACACAUGCAAGUCGAACGAGACCUUCGGGUCUAGUGGCGCACGGGUGCGUAACGCGUGGGAACCUGCCCUUAGGUUCGGAAUAACUCCCCGAAAGGGGUGCUAAUACCGGAUAAUGUCUUCGGACCAAAGAUUUAUCGCCUUUGGAUGGGCCCGCGUUGGAUUAGCUAGUUGGUAGGGUAAAAGCCUACCAAGGCGACGAUCUAUAGCUGGUCUGAGAGGAUGAUCAGCCACACUGGGACUGAGACACGGCCCAGACUCCUACGGGAGGCAGCAGUGGGGAAUAUUGGACAAUGGGCGAAAGCCUGAUCCAGCAAUGCCGCGUGAGUGAUGAAGGCCUUAGGGUGGUAAAGCUCUUUUACCCGGGAUGAUAAUGACAGUACCGGGAGAAGAAGCUCCGGCUAACUCCAU
rnacentral:rRNA from 1 species